UCCUCUCAAUAGAUGCAGAAAAAGCACAUGACCAAGUACAGCACCCUUUCUUGAUGAAAAAACUCCACAGUGUAGGGAUAGAGGGAAAGUGAAAAGACAACACUGAAGGUUCAACCAGGAGUGGACACAGGUAGGGCAGUGAGGUCACUUCUUUGACAACAGAGCCCAACAGAACUCGGAACCCCUGCAACCAGGCACCCACAUUCUACUGCAGCCUCACAUCAGGCUCACUUGGCUGGAGACAUCUGCUAGUGAAAGAUGUUCUAUUACUGCCUGCUGACUUCCCGGGGCUAUGGCUUCCAGAAAGCCCAGGGACGUGGUGGCUCUUUCACAUGCUGUAGCCUUUGGUUUCACCAUCACACCCCAUGCCUCAGGGUGUUUGCCAGGAGGCGCCCUAAGGGUACAGCCGCAAGCCCAGAUAAAAUCUCUUCUUCAAAUGUGCAUGUGAUUCCGUGCUGCAGAUGGUUUGUCCUUGGUCCCAGAUCCUGGGUGUCCCCAUCAUGAUGGAGCAUUGCGAAGAACCACAUACAGCCUUUCUUUGGGCCACACUCAGUACUGAGUAAGAACAGGACUUUCCACGUGUGGAGUUGCUGCCUGAAGAGCCUGAGGAAACCUGACAAGUGUUGUGUUUCUUCCUGGUGCUGGGAAGUACUGUCCUAAUAAGUUGUUCUUAAUUUUGGAGAUGGUGCUCAGGCACGUCUAGACCUCUAGACACCUAAAUAACACUGAGUGUCUUUCAGAACACCUUCUCACUAGUGCAUUUCUUAUUAGGUUAAUAAAUUUAAUGUCCUUGGAGUGUUCUUCAAACAUAGUCAACUGGUGGGGUUUUGACCUCUUUGCUUUAUCCACUUUUAUUCCCACUGCUCUGAGUCUUUCAUCCUUCUUCUGCUACAUGCUCUGAAAUCCUGACACUUCAAUUCUCUUCACGUGGACCAUCACUCUUCCAAAACUUCUAGCAAAUUGAGCAGCAAAGGAGGACCAUGGACCCUGAGCCCUGAUGUGAGAUUCUUACCAGAGGAGUUUACUCCCAUUUCAUUACGUUCUUCCUCACUAACUUUGCAUGCAAUCCCCCUUGAUUCAAUCCAUUCUGAUUCGGUCUCAUGACUUCCAGAGCCUACCAUACACAUUGGGGGCAGCUACUUCAGCAUAUAGUACUUUUCUCUCUUUAGCCAUUCCAACACUUCCGCAUCAGGACUGGACCCUAGUGCCUGGUAUGAUGAUGAGGAGGUAUUAGAGUUGUUGCCUUGCAAGGCAGCAGCCUUUAUAAUGUUUUCAAGUACCAGCCUUCUGCCAGGAGGAAUGGGAGACUUCUGCAGAGUCCGAAGGCUCAAAGGAACCUCGAAUGAAAUUUACCUACGUAUCCCGACUCCCAAUUUCAGGGCCCCAUGCCUUUCUAAUCAAGUCCUACCAAGCCAAGACAACGUGAACAGGGUAAAAAAAGCUCAGCCAGUGUUGAGAAUUUCAACUUUUCUGGAGUUCUGUUCCUUAAAGAAAGUCUGGGUCUGAUUUUUACCAUUUCCUGCCCCCUGCCUAUAGAGGAAAAGUGUCUGCAUAUGGUGCCAAGGAGACAUUCUGGCUUCCACGUGUUUCUUUCUACUGUGAUUAAUCACCACCUACCUUUAACUGUCUUCUUCCAAUGCACUGAAUGAUCCCAACAAAGGCUAUCAAAUUCCAUAGUUCAAAAUAAUUGUUAUUUCUUCCAAAUGUUUAUAAUACCUGAUACUGCCAUUUCUAGUGUGUGCAAAUGUUCUCACAAAUGUAUUCUCUUCCAGCAUCCCAGCGCAGAUCAUCACCAGUGAGAGUUUUAAUAUCUCACUACAGUGGGCCCUCGCUGGCAGCCUCCAGGGGAUGAUGCAUCUCCAGAAUCCCAUUUUAGAGUUGGUAUCCUAAGAUCACAUCCUGUAUCAACUGAUGUGUGUUGAGUUCCCAGGGAAACAGACACCAACUUUCUGAGAUUUGCAUACAGAAAGUUUAUGGAGAGGUGCUCUGAAACAACACCCUUAAGAGAUGAGAGAAAUUGUUGUGGGUACAAGCAAAAGUUAAACAGUGAUGCAACUGCAAGAGGGAUCUCAUCAGCCUAUCCUACUGGGAAGCUCUGGAGCUGAGAUGCUCUUCAGAGAUGUCCCCACAGAAACCAGAAAGGCCUUUGUAAAGCUGGAUUCAUGAAUCUCUGGAUGCAUCUGUCCCCUUGGGAGGGGAUAAUCUUGAGUGGGCCAGCUUCCUUCAGGAGACAGUCAUUACUGGAGAGAGUCAAUGAAAUAUCAACCAACACGUCUGCACAUGCGGUCAGUCUCAAAGGCAGCCAGGCAGCCCACCACAACAUCCUCUCCUGGAGGGAGGCAGAAGAGGGGAAGCUUGCUCUCCUUGUUUGGCUGCCUCUCAAAAACCCUUUCCUUACUGCACACCUGAUGUCUCAGUGAUUGACCUUGCUGCACAUUGCACAGACAGACUUGGGACAGAGAGAGAGAGAAGCAGAGACACAGGCAGAGGGGGAAGCAGGCUCCAGGCCGGG